ensembl:lncRNA
GCAUACAUACAUCCCCUCCUUCUUGAGCCUCCUUCCCACCCACAGCCCCAUCCAACCUGUCUAGGUCAUCACGGAGCACGGAGCUGAGCUCCCUGUGCUGCACAGCAGCUUCCUGCUAGCUAACUGUUUUACACGUGGUCGUAUUACAUGCUGAUGUUGUUGUCUGAGAUUGUUACUACAUGCCAUGAGACGAGAGUACACUAAUGCUCACACUGGGCAUCUGUUUGAGCAUCAGUGUGCUCUGAGCACACUGAUUGUUAACUGAGCAAAUGGGAUCUUCUUAAGACUCAGUUUGGGUAAUGCAUACCUAGGGCGGCCACCCGAGUGCCAGGUACAGGGGACAAAGUGGUUAGUAAAAGCAGACCUAGGCUCGACCCUGUGCUCAUGAUGAUGACAGUCUAGUGGGGGAAACCAGCAUUAACCAAGUAAGCACAUGCUGGAAGUAAAAUGACAACAGGAGAAAGUGCGUGCAGGAGAGGACUGUGGUUCCACCUGGGGAUUUGCCCCUCUGUGUGACUGAAGGAGAAAUGAAGGAUGCAGGGCAUUAACCAAGCCAGAGGCCCUGAGCCGGGGGGGGGGCGGGCAUUUUCUAGAGGUGGGGAGAAACCAGUGUGGCCAGCGCUCUGCGGGGGAGGUCUUGUGGGGGUCUGAUGGAGAAGACAGGGGAGCCACUGAAAUUUCCCUUCCCCGUGACUUGGUGCAGCUAUCACCUGGGUGGGACUGGGGGGUGCCAUGUAGGAGGUCAGUGUCUGCAGAAGGCGAGCUCCCGUUCCUGACCCGGGUGCAGGAGGUCUCCGUGGACUGGGCGCACAGAGUAACAAGCACAUGCUGGCUGCCUGGGGGCAGUCCUGCAUUUCUUGCUGCCGUGUCUGAAGCCUUGACCUGUGGGGGCCAUCAGCUCUCCAUGCAGACAGAAGGACAUGGCUGCCUGCUGAGAAACUCGUGCUGGGGCCUCCAGCUGCUGACUUACUUCACAAUUUAGAUUCUUCUUGCUCCUGUUUGCUCUGGAAUAAAGAACUUGUUGAUUAUGUCUCCCUGGGGACUAAUAGUCUCCUGAAUUUCAUGUUACGUGGAGUGGGAAGCAGGACAGCAUCAGUUAGCAAAUAGCAAUGCCUUCUGUGUGAUCAAAAUGUACUCCGUAAAUAUUUACUGAGUGACGUUUGGGACACUGGAGGUAGAGGGGGUGAACAAGAUAGCCGGGACCCCUGCUCCUUCUCAGUUCUCCUUUGGUGGGAGAGAGGACGGAUUGGGGUGGGACAGACAAGGCUGGAGAGACUGAGGGCUAUGAGAGGUUCGGGGGUGAGUGCUGGCUAAGGUGAGACCCAGAGGAGGAUGUAUUAAGAGGGUGAGGUCAGGAAAAAGAGAACAGGAGAGGGGACACAGAUCUAGAGGAAGGAGACUGCGGCUCAGUCACCUUCCUGGAGCAGGACUGGCCAGGGCACUGAGAUUUCCACUUCUUCUGGCUCUCUGGAAGAUGCUUCCUCGGACUUUGGCAGGGGUCCUGAGCAGUUUUGGUCACAGUCAUCUAAUGCAAUUGUAUUUUCUUCUUCUGAGCACAUCAGGUCCCAGACACACGAAACCUGGCUGUGUUCCUCAACUACUGCCAGUAUGAGGGGAUGGCCACACUGCGAUGUCACAGGAAGUAAUCACUACAAACUCCUGGAGCACAUGUCCAUCUGAGAAGCCUUUGUGUGGAUGCCCUGAGCCCGGCACCAAAGAACUGAUAGAACUGCAGUCACAGGGACAGCUUUUUUCAUUUGAUGAGAGGGAUGGGGGUGGUGGGAAUAUAUCGGCUGCAGUGACCUUUCACGGUAGGCAGAGACGUGCUGGUGCUGAAACAAUUAUCUCAAGUGCCCGUGGGUACCAGCUUCCUGUUGAUAACAUGUGGUGCUAAUUACCUUGAAGCAUUCAGGGCAGAUGUUGGUGCUUGGAAUGAACAGGCCAGCAGAAGGGCCGCGCCUGGCUCAGGACCAGGGGUUCAAGGUGGGGCAGCGCCGCUGUCUCCCAUUCCCCUCUCUCCUCCAGACUGCCGCUGUGGUUCCUCUCCUCCUCCAGACACUGUGCUUUACUGUGCAGUCUCUUAACCUUUUCCAUGAAGUCAAAAUGUGACUGGUGGACCAGUCACCCCUCUCUGUUUAAUAGCCUUCUAGACCUGCGGGGGAGGAAUAGGAUGACCAGUUAAUCAAAAUACUCUGUGUGGAAAAGGUCAACAUGGUGGGGCUCCUACCAUAUAUUUUUCUGGGAGAGAUAUUGACGUUCUGCCUUGUCCUUCCUUUCAGUACUGCCCAUGUGGUCAGGAGAUUGCAGCAGUGCUGUGGAUCCUUGAUGACCACGAUUUUACUGAAAGAGAGUGAUGGUGGCAAGUCUGAUGAUAUUUCCCUUUACCCUAUGGGGCCACUGUUACUGGAAAGUCCCCUCCCCCACCAGGUCCAUGAAGAUGGGGACAGUACCUGUUUCGUUCAUCUCUACACCUUAGUUCCCGACGGAAGCCAAGCACACAGGGGAGCUCAGUGUCUGGAGCCUGUGCCUUCAGGUGUCUUGUCCAAGACUCCUGAACUGUUAAGUGGCUACCAUGAAAACACUGGCCAUGGCAACUUCUGGUUGCUGCUUCUGUUAGAAUAAACUUCCAAGU